rnacentral:rRNA from 1 species
AACCAGCACCUCAAGUGGUCAGGAUGAUUAUUGGGCCUAAAGCAUCCGUAGCCUGUUCUGUAAGUUUUCGGUUAAAUCUAUGCGCUCAACGUACAGGCUGCCGGGAAUACUGCAGAGCUAGGGAGUGGGAGAGGUAGACGGUACUCGGUAGGAAGGGGUAAAAUCCUUUGAUCUAUUGAUGACCACCUGUGGCGAAGGCGGUCUACCAGAACACGUCCGACGGUGAGGGAUGAAAGCUGGGGGAGCAAACCGG